AGAGUUUGAUCAUGGCUCAGAAUCAACGCUGGCGGCAUGCCUAACACAUGCAAGUCGAGCGAGAAAGGGUAGCAAUACCUGAGUAAAGCGGCGCACGGGUGAGUAACACGUGGAUAACCUGCCUCAAAGUGGGGAAUAACACCGGGAAACCGGUGCUAAUACCGCAUAUUCUGAUGAGAUCUGUGGAUUUUGUCAGGAAAGGAGCAAUUCGCUAUGAGAGGGGUCCGCGGCUGAUUAGCUAGUUGGUGGGGUAAUGGCUCACCAAGGCCACGAUCAGUAGCCGGUCUGAGAGGACGGUCGGCCACACUGGAACUGAGACACGGUCCAGACUCCUACGGGAGGCAGCAGUGGGGAAUUUUUCGCAAUGGGGGCAACCCUGACGAAGCAAUGCCGCGUGGAUGAUGAAGUAUCUCGGUACGUAAAAUCCUUUCGACGGGGACGAAACCGCAAGGUUGACGGUACCCGUAGAAGAAGCCCCGGCUAACUCCGUGCCAGCAGCCGCGGUAAUACGGGGGGGGCGAGCGUUGUUCGGAAUUACUGGGCGUAAAGGGUGCGUAGGCGGCUCUCUAAGUCGGAUGUGAAAACUCUGGGCUCAACCCAGAGCCUGCAUCCGAAACUGGAGAGCUAGGGUUCUGGAGGGGAAAGCGGAAUUCCUGGUGUAGCGGUGAAAUGCGUAGAUAUCAGGAGGAACACCGGUGGCGAAGGCGGCUUUCUGGACAGAUACCGACGCUGAGGCACGAAAGCUAGGGGAGCAAACAGGAUUAGAUACCCUGGUAGUCCUAGCCCUAAACUAUGGAUACUUGCUGUGGGGGGGAUUGAAGCCCCUUGUGGCGAAGCUAACGCAUUAAGUAUCCCGCCUGGGGAGUACGGUCGCAAGGCUGAAACUCAAAUGAAUUGACGG
rnacentral:rRNA from 1 species